UCCACCAAAACAGCUGAGUGGCUCUUGACUUCAACAUAUUUCCAUUAAUAACUGGAAUAUGGAGGAAAAUAAGAGAGAAAUCUUCUAUCGCUUUCAAUGUUCACAUAGUUGGCAAGGACAUAGUAUCUAUUCAGACUUUUUAACUUUCCACAGUCACUACAAUAUUGAACCAAGGUGUCUGUCCUCCUUAAAAGAGAGAGCUAGUUAGCAAAGACAAUACACAAAGAAACUAAUGGGGCUAUCUGUUCUCACUCCUUUACUUCUAUUAGUCAUUUUCUCUUUGUUGCAGAUGCAUACCAUUGCCAACAAAAAGUCUUAUGUAGUGUACCUAGGAGGGCAUUCACACGGACAAGACCCUUCAUUGAUGGAUCUUGAUGGUGUGACAAAUUCUCAUUAUGGUUUGCUAGGGUCUAUCUUGGGGAGCAAUGACAAGGCCAAGGAAGCAAUCUUCUACUCGUAUACUAGACAUAUCAAUGGCUUUGCUGCAAUCCUCAAUGAGGAAGAAGCAGCACUGAUUUCAAAGCACCCAAAUGUUGUAUCAGUUUUCUUAAACAAGGGGAGGAGAUUGCACACAACAAGGUCAUGGGAUUUUCUUGGACUAGAGAGAGAUGGAGUAGUACCUUUGGGCUCAAUUUGGCAGAAGGCAAGGUUUGGUGAAGAUACAAUAAUUGGAAACCUUGACACUGGUGUUUGGCCUGAAUCAAAGAGCUUUAGUGAUGAACGGAUUGGUCCCAUCCCAUCAAAGUGGCGUGGAAUAUGUCAGCAUGGAAAUAAAGACAAGAGUCCAUUGCAAUAGGAAGCUAAUUGGAGCAAGGUACUUUAACAAAGGUUAUGCCUUCUAUGCUGGGACUCUCAACUCCUCCUUUUUCACUGCACGGGACUAUGAUGGCCAUGGCUCUCACACCUUAUCAACAGCUGGUGGUAACUUUGUUCCUGGAGCUAGUGUUUUCAGCCAUGGCAAUGGCACUGCAAAGGGUGGAUCACCAAAAGCCAGAGUGGCAGCUUACAAGGUAUGCUGGCCACCAAUUUAUGGUUUACAGUGCUUUGAUGCAGACAUCAUAGCUGCCUUUGAUGCUGCAAUAAGUGAUGGCGUUCAUGUGCUUUUGGUCUCUCUGGGUGGGGCACCAGCUGAAUUUUUGGAAGAUGCAAUUUCAAUAGGGGCUUUCCAUGCAGUUAAGCAUGGCAUUCUUGUUGUUGGUGCUGCAGGAAAUUCAGGACCAGAUCUAGGGACUGUAACAAAUGUGUCACCAUGGAUGUUAACGGUUGGUGCUAGCACAAUUGAUCAAGAGUUCACAAGUUAUGUUGCUCUGGGUAACAAGAAACACCUCAAGGGAGCAAGCCUUUCUGCUACAGGCCUGCCAUCUCAAAAGUUCUAUCCAUUGAUCAGUGCUGCAGAUGCUAAAGCUGCUAAUGCAUCUGCUACAGAAGCCCUGCAAUGUAUGCCUGGAAUGCUUGAUUCCAGGAAGGUGAAGGGGAAGAUCUUGUUCUGCCUUCGAAUGAAUAAUGAAAGAACUGUAAAGGGCGAGCAGGCUGCUCUAGCAGGUGCUGUUGGGAUGAUUUUGGCUAAUGAUGAGCUAAAUGGAAAUGACGUUCUAUCUGAGACUCAUUUGCUUCUUGCUUCACAUAUCAAUUUCACUGAUGGCAAAUAUGCCAUUGCCUACAUCAACACUACCAAGAACCCUAUGGCUUACAUGACUCACCCAAUAACACAACUGGGAACGAAACCAGCUCCAAUAGUAGCUCAGUUCUCAUCAAGAGGACCCAAUAUGAUUCAGCAAGCAAUCCUCAAGCCUGAUGUCACUGCAAGGGUUGGACAUAAUUGCAGCUUACACCAAAGCAGAUGGGCCAACUAAUCUAAUAUUUGAUAUGCGCCGGAUACCUUUUAACUCACAAUCUGGCACUUCCAUGUCAUGCCCUCAUGUCUCUGGAAUUGCCGGGCUUCUCAAAACACUCCACCCUGAUUGGAGUCCAACAGCUAUUAAAUCUGCAAUCAUGACCACCGCAAGUACAAAUGAUGACAACAUGGAGCCAAUGCUGGAUGCAUCCUACCUCAAGGCAACACCAUUUGCCUACGGUGCAGGAAAUGUUCAACCAAACCAUGCCAUGGACCCCGGACUCAUUUAUGAUCUAACCAUAUAUGAUUAUUUAAAUUUCCUAUGUGCUCAUCACUACUACAAAAGCCAAAUCAAUUUAUUCUCGGAUAAGCCUUAUGCAUGUCCUAAGUCAUUUAGUCUAGCAGACUUUAACUACCCUUCAAUAGCUGUCCCUAAUCUUUCUGCAGAUUCAGUGAUUAUUACUCGUAUAGUUACAAAUGUAGGUUCUCCAGGUACGUACAGAGUGCGUGUCAAAGCACCUGCUGGAGUCUGGGUCACAAUAAAACCUAGGAGAAUGAAAUUUAAGGUAAUUGGAGAAAAGAAGAAAUUCAAGGUGAUUUUAAAACCUAAGGUUGAGGGUAAGCCUAGAGGUUAUGUUUUUGGAGAAUUGGUAUGGUCAGAUGGCAAGCACCAUGUCAGGAGUCCACUUGUGGUGAAGCACACUGAGAAUUGAUAUUUACAGACAUAAAUGUCUCGUCUUUUUCAUUGGAAAAAAGAUUUGUUUAUGUAAUGCUUUUAACAUGGCAAAUAAAUGGGUAGUUAUUAAGCAAGUCAUUAGUUUUGUUACCUUCAACUUUUUAGGCCUAAGUUUUUUUCCGAUUGCAGCAGAAUGUCAAACCCAGAACAUUAAUCAACUAUUUGUAACCCAGACAAAAAAAUGAAAUAGAAUAAAUAAAGUUGAUGUGAUUGUCAAAAACCAAGAAUAUUCUG